CCAGUGACUGGAAUUUGGAAGUGGCCCGGCCGGCAGGAGUGGCGGCCACCACCCGGCUGUCCCCACGCCGCAGCGACAGCCCCGCCAGACGAUCUAGGGCGCACUUCUCACGUAUGUAGCAGCAGUCAACGGAGAAAUGCAAAUCCUGGUCACGGUCUCUAUAGUGCUUGAGGAAACUAACUAGAUCCCGGACUGACAAAUCUGUGGCCGCCUUCAUCCAUCGCCCAUACUCUUCCAGCUGAAGGGGGAAGAGCAGCUCUCUGUAACCCGGGCCCCUGCGAGGAUGUCCUGCUGCCUGCAAGCGCCCUGCUGUCGUGAGCGUGAGCGGACUGCUUGCCGCCAGUCAUACACAGCGCUGAAAUAUCACAGGGAUGUGUCACACAAGAAACCCAAAGUGGUAGAAAAUUUAAAAGGGGUUGGGAAGAAGAAGAA